CCGGGCCUCUGAGGACGCUCUGGCGGCUGGUCCGGCGGCAGAGUUUGGGGGACUAAGCAGGAUUCUGCCUUUGCACGUUAUGUUCCUGUGGCUGAGGACUGCCUAAUGUUCACAUGAAUGCUUCGUGCCAAGCUAUACCCUUAGUUAAGGCUUCUCGUGCAUCACUGCCUGCCUGCCACUCUGGAUUUGAAACUCCAUAAGAGCAGCCAAUAUAUCACUUAUUCUGGGGAAAGGCAGCUGCCAUGUCAUGAGGGCACUCAAGCAGCUUCAUAGAGAGGUUCACGUGGCGAGGAACUGAGGCCUCCUGCAAUAGUCCGCAUUAACUUGCCAGCCAUGUGAAUGAGACAUCUUAGGAUUGGUCCCCUAUCCCCAGUCAAGCCUGCAGACCUGGCUGACAUCUUGACUGCAAACUCAUGAUAUACAUUGAGACAGAACAGCCCAGUGCUGUCGAAUCAAUUCUGACUUCUAGUGACCCUGAUUACAGAAGAGUGGAACGCCGCCCUGGUCUUUUUGUGCCAUCCUCUCAUCUUCCAGCAUUCUAUCAGACAGUGCUCCAGUACUAUUCACAGGGUUUUCAUGGCCAAUUUUUUUAGAAGUGGGUGGCCAGGUCCUUCUUCCUGGUCUUAGUCUGGAAGCUCUGCUGAAACCUGUCCACCAUGGGUGACCCUGCUGGUAUCUGAAAUACCAGUAGCGUAGCUUUCAGCAUCAUAGCAACACGCAGCCACCACAGUAUGCCAACCAACAGAGGGAGUGUGGUUCCUGACCAGAAAAUGAACCCAGGCCAUGGCGGUGGGAGCGUUGAAUCUUAACCAUUAAACUACCAUUUGCUUACCUACAUAGGAUAUAAAAUAGAUGGGGCUAUAAGAAUUGGUUUCACAUAGUUGGAAAUAUAAGUGUAAUUUUUAAGCCUUUAAUAAUAAGCAGAGCAACAAUAGCAUGAACAAUGACUUCUGGAAUAGUUUUCUGUGACAUAGGGUCUAUUCUCAUACCACUAACAGCCUUAAUGAAGAUCUUCAAGUAACAACUCUCAUCACCAGGGAAUUGGCCUAUAAUACUAGUCAAUUGUGGGAAUGUCUAUAGUUGGAAAAAUAGGACAAAGUUUCCUCUAAUUCCCCUGAUUUAGAAUUCUGGAACAUACAUGUGGAAAAAAAACAUUCAAGAACAAGAAGAGAGGUAUACAUUCUUUACACUUUUCACAUUUCAUCGCUUCAUUAGGGAUACCUGUCUGUCACUCCAAUUUAUGAAGUGUCCACUUUGGAGGAACUGAGUUAAGAAGUGAAAGAUAUCUUUUGAGUCCUUGUCAAGAGAGCUGAAAAGGAAAAGCAAAUGUGUUAGUCAAUUUGCCUGUUUGUCAGCCUCUUCUCUUCUCCCACAAUCCCUGCGGAGUGAGCAUUAGGUCACAUGACAGCCCCACCCCACACAUGUAGCCCACAGCUGAUUGGAUCAGUUGUAGGCACCUAACUCAAGCUGAGCCAAUCAGAUUCUGUCUUCCAAGAAUUUGGAAUUGGGAUUUAGAAAUUCUAGUCAGCAACUUUGGAACAUUUAGGGAGAUCACAUAAAGCUGACCCUGGAGAGGCCGUGUUUGGGCUUGUAUUAGUGAAACACAGAAAUCUGCUCCAUAGAGGAAGAAAGUAAUGAUUCAGGCACAUAGAAAGAUGAAGAGAUGAGAGUCCCUGUGACCCUGCAGAGUGAGAAUAGAGAAAAUGAAGUCAACAGCCUUGGAUCUUGAUGGCAUUCUGUUUCCUUGUUCCAGUCUCUCGUAAAAACUGCUGUUGAGUUUUUGAAAUAGUGCUUUAUCCUUUAAAUAAAUUCCCCAUUGUUACUUA